rnacentral:rRNA from 1 species
GUUGAAUGCUGGCGGUGCGCCUAAUACAUGCAAGUCGAACGAGACGAUUGAGGAGUUUACUUUUCAAUCUGAAAGUGGCGGACGAGCGAGUAACACGUAACUACCUGCCCCGUACUCAGGGAUAACGGUCCGAAAGGAUCGCUAAUACCGGAUGGUCCCGAAAGGGUAAAGCUUUUGCGGUACGGGAGGGGGUUGCGGCUUAUCAGUUAGUUGGUGGGGUAAAGGCCUACCAAGACGAUGACGAGUAGCUGGUGUGAGAGCAUGACCAGCCGCGAUGGGACUGAGACACGGCCCAUACUCCUACGGGAGGCAGCAGUAAGGAAUCUUCCGCAAUGGGGGAAACCCUGACGGAGCGACACCGCGUGAAGGAUGAAGCAUCUAGGUGUGUAAACUUCUUUUAUGAGGGAAGAAAAUCUGACGGUACCUCAUGAAUAAGGACCGGCUAAUUACG